CCUACGGGCGGCAGCAGUGGGGAAUAUUGGACAAUGGGGGCAACCCUGAUCCAGCCAUGCCGCGUGUGUGAAGAAGGCCCUCGGGUUGUAAAGCACUUUCAGUGAGGAAGAACGCCUGGUGGUUAAUACCCAUCAGGAAAGACAUCACUCACAGAAGAAGCACCGGCUAACUCCGUGCCAGCAGCCGCGGUAAUACGGAGGGUGCGAGCGUUAAUCGGAAUUACUGGGCGUAAAGCGCGCGUAGGUGGCUUGAUAAGCCGGUUGUGAAAGCCCCGGGCUCAACCUGGGAACGGCAUCCGGAACUGUCAAGCUAGAGUGCAGGAGAGGAAGGUAGAAUUCCCGGUGUAGCGGUGAAAUGCGUAGAGAUCGGGAGGAAUACCAGUGGCGAAGGCGGCCUUCUGGACUGACACUGACACUGAGGUGCGAAAUCGUGGGUAGCAAACAGGAUUAGAUACCCCUGUAGUC
rnacentral:rRNA from 1 species